rnacentral:rRNA from 1 species
AGAACGAACGCUGGCGGCAUGCCUAACACAUGCAAGUCGGACGCUUUCGGGGGUUUCGGCCUCCGAGGGAGUGGCGGACGGGUGAGUAGCGCGUGGGAACCUGCCCCUUUGUGGGGGAUAACCGAGGGAAACUUCGGCUAAUACCGCAUACGCCCGGGGGAAACUCCGGGGAAAGAUUUAUCGCAGCAGGAGGGGCCCGCGUCGGAUUAGGUAGUUGGUGGGGUAACGGCCCACCAAGCCUGUGAUCCGUAGCUGGUCUGAGAGGAUGAUCAGCCACACUGGGACUGAGACACGGCCCAGACUCCUACGGGAGGCAGCAGUGGGGAAUAUUGGACAAUGGGCGCAAGCCUGAUCCAGCAAUGCCGCGUGAGUGAUGAAGGCCUUCGGGUUGUAAAGCUCUUUCGCACGCGACGAUGAUGACGGUAGCGUGAGAAGAGCCCCGGCUAACUUCGUGCCAGCAGCCGC